GACUACUACUUGAACACGAUGAUUGAAGUGGCGCGAUAGUACACAUGCUCAAGAGCUACCUUAACAUGUUCAGCUAACAAUCAUAUAGGCACCGCGUGCCUAGACAAUCAGAGUUGUACGUUCAGGCAAGAGGACUGCGGCAAAAUCUUCGCCGCUGCUCGAUGGAGGAGGGGGAUCGCGAUCUGCAAAAGGAGGUGCGGUGUUGGGGGCUUAUGAUGUGUCGCCACUACCUGGAGUCACUUUGUCGCCGUGACCAUUACCAUUGCCUAACAAGGUGACUUUCCUAUUGCACAUCACAAUUUCUGGUGACACAUAUGUGAAGUUUGUUGCAGAUUUUUGAAGUGAAGGAAAAUAUGGACACAACCAACAUGCCGGUUACUUCACUUUCUCUAUUCCACCUUUUAUAAUUAGAAACUUUUUGUAGAGAUCUAUCCAUCUAUG